UCGAACGAUGAACCACUUCGGUGGGGAUUAGUGGCGAACGGGUGAGUAACACGUGGGCAAUCUGCCCUUCACUCUGGGACAAGCCCUGGAAACGGGGUCUAAUACCGGAUAACACUCCCUCCCUCCUGGGUGGGGGUUGAAAGCUCCGGCGGUGAAGGAUGAGCCCGCGGCCUAUCAGCUUGUUGGUGAGGUAAUGGCUCACCAAGGCGACGACGGGUAGCCGGCCUGAGAGGGCGACCGGCCACACUGGGACUGAGACACGGCCCAGACUCCUACGGGAGGCAGCAGUGGGGAAUAUUGCACAAUGGGCGAAAGCCUGAUGCAGCGACGCCGCGUGAGGGAUGACGGCCUUCGGGUUGUAAACCUCUUUCAGCAGGGAAGAAGCGAAAGUGACGGUACCUGCAGAAGAAGCGCCGGCUAACUACGUGCCAGCAGCCGCGGUAAUACGUAGGGCGCAAGCGUUGUCCGGAAUUAUUGGGCGUAAAGAGCUCGUAGGCGGCUUGUCACGUCGGGUGUGAAAGCCCGGGGCUUAACCCCGGGUCUGCAUUCGAUACGGGCUAGCUAGAGUGUGGUAGGGGAGAUCGGAAUUCCUGGUGUAGCGGUGAAAUGCGCAGAUAUCAGGAGGAACACCGGUGGCGAAGGCGGAUCUCUGGGCCAUUACUGACGCUGAGGAGCGAAAGCGUGGGGAGCGAACAGGAUU
rnacentral:rRNA from 1 species